rnacentral:rRNA from 1 species
CGACGAACGCUGGCGGCGUGCCUAAUACAUGCAAGUCGAACGAACCGCGACUAAGUGCUUGCACUAAGUCAAGGUGAGUGGCGAACGGGUGAGUAACACGUGGGUAACCUACCUCAUAUUGGGGGAUAACGGUCGGAAACGACUGCUAAUACCGCAUAGGACAUGGAAUCACAUGAUUCUGUGAGGAAAGGUGGCGCAAGCUAUCGCUAAGAGAUGGACCCGCGGUGCAUUAGCUAGUUGGUAGGGUAAAGGCCUACCAAGGCGAUGAUGCAUAGCCGACCUGAGAGGGUGAUCGGCCACAUUGGGACUGACACACGGCCCAAACUCCUACGGGAGGCAGCAGUAGGGAAUCUUCCGCAAUGGACGCAAGUCUGACGGAGCAACGCCUCGUGAGUGAAGAAGGUCUUCGGAUCGUAAAGCUCUGUUGUUAGAGAAGAACAGCGCAUAGAGUAACUGUUAUGCGUGUGACGGUAUCUAACCAGAAAGCCACGGCUAACUACGUGCCAGCAGCCGCGGUAAUACGUAGUGGCGAGCGUUGUCCGGAUUUAUUGGGCGUAAAGGGAGUGUAGGCGGUCUUUUAAGUCUGAUGUGAAAGCCCACGGCUCAACCGUGGAGGGUCAUUGGAAACUGGUAGACUUGAGUGCGGAAGAAGAGAGCGGAAUUCCAUGUGUAGCGGUGAAAUGCGUAGAUAUAUGGAGGAACACCAGUGGCGAGGCGGCUCUCUGGUCUGU